rnacentral:rRNA from 1 species
CGCAAGCCUGAUGCAGCCAUGCCGCGUGUAUGAAGAAGGCUUCGGGUUGUAAAGUACUUUCAGCAGUGAGGAAGUGGGUAUGUUAAUAGCAUACUCAUUUGACGUUAGCUGCAGAAGAAGCACCGGCUAACUCCGUGCCAGCAGCCGCGGUAAUACGGAGGGUGCGAGCGUUAAUCGGAAUUACUGGGCGUAAAGCGCAUGCAGGUGGUUUGUUAAGUCAGAUGUGAAAGCCCGGGGCUCAACCUCGGAAUUGCAUUUGAAACUGGCAAACUAGAGUACUGUAGAGGGGGUAGAAUUUCAGGUGUAGCGGUGAAAUGCGUAGAGAUCUGAAGGAAUACCGGUGGCGAAGGCGGCCCCCUGGACAGAUACUGACACUCAGAUGCGAAAGCGUGGGGAGCAAACAGGAUUAGAUACCCUGGUAG